UACGGAGGGUGCAAGCGUUAUCCGGAUUCACUGGGUUUAAAGGGUGCGUAGGUGGGCAGGUAAGUCCGUGGUGAAAUCUCUGAGCUUAACUCAGAAACUGCCGUGGAUACUAUCUGUCUUGAAUAUUGUGGAGGUAAGCGGAAUAUGUCAUGUAGCGGUGAAAUGCUUAGAUAUGACAUAGAACACCAAUUGCGAAGGCAGCUUACUACACAGUAAUUGACGCUGAGGCACGAAAGCGUGGGGAUCAAGCAGG
rnacentral:rRNA from 1 species